GAAGAGCACUGGUCUGUCCCACACACCACCCCAUCUCAUGUAAGCUUUUAUCAUCAUUAAAAUGUAACUGCAUUCACUGAUAUUUUGCACACACACAAGUCUGAUGAUGUCAGUCAUUAUUAUGUUACUUUAUAAUUGUAGCAUGUGUUAGCUAACGUGCUGCUGUUGCUACGUGACCUGUGAAGACAAGUUUACUGUUCCUCAGUGCAGUUCAGGUUUAAAGAUGUUGUUUUCUUAGCUAAGCAUAUUAUUAAUGUAUACCCAGAGGAAAUAAUUGGCUGCUGACCACAGUCUUUACUUUGUCUCAUCAGACAUAAACCUACAUUCUGAUGUGUUUCUCCUAAACAUCGUUAACCAUUUAAUAACUAAUGAGCAAACUCUUGGAUAAAAACAUUGUUUAGUCUUAAUUAGAUUAUUAGAUGAUUAAAAUCAUCACUGUGUCUUUAGAGGUUACCAUAAAACCAAAAUGUUCAAAUGAUGUCAAAUCAGAAUAAAUAAGUUAGACAGGAGUGCAGUCAGAGUUGAUGGAGGUAUGUAAGAUGAGGAAGGGUUGCUUCAACAAGAGGACUGCUGUCACCCUGAGAUAACCAUGUCUCAGUGAUACUGAAAUAAUCUCAGUUAUUCAAAGUAAUAAAAUCAUGGCAUAACAAAGAUUUAUUGUUUCAGGAUCUGAUAUUUAAAUGAGCAACAGACCAAAGUGAGAGAAAGAAGAACGGUUUAAAGUUUGACAGCAACAAUCUGAUUGGCUCACUGAGAUCUUGGCAACAUGUAGUUGGUUUAAGUCAAAGAGUGAACGCCCACAGUCAGCUGAUCAAGUUGGAAGAGACAGGAGGAGAAUUUGAGGGAGUAUUCCUGAAAUAAUUUCUGCUAAGCUUCAGUAAAAUCAACUUCCUUUUGUUACAGAUGAAAUGACAGUAAAUGUUUGGGCCUCUGCACCCUCAUAAUGAUCCCAUACGAUGGAUCAGGAUUAUUGUUUAAGUGAUAAGUGAUUACUCUAAAAGUCUGUGUUGAUAAAAGAGAGGAAUCAUUCAGUGGGAACAGAAUCAACUUUUACUGAACUUCUCUGAUGUCUACUCAGUAGUUUCUGUGUAUCCAUCAGUUGAUGUGUCUGGAUGUCUGAUCAUCUCAUUUCCCACCCUGGUGCUCUUUGUGUCUUGUUUACUAGGAUGACUAAAGGAAACAUCGAUUCCGUUGACUCUGGUGUGUCCUUGAAGAGUGAUUGGUCAAAAACUGGACUGAUUGAUUUCAAAGACAGAGUCUUUCUCAGCAGGUCGGACUUUUCUUCCUCAGAGAAGAAGCACGUCAGAUGAUAAAGGUUUGGUCGAGUCUUCAGACGACCUGGGACGAGAGACGAACCAGGAAGUGGGAUGGAAACAUCUUGAGGCUCCCGUCAGCAGCUGCUCCUGAUGGUCUCUUCAUAUCAUCGUGCCUGCUGAUGCUUCCUGCAUCACGACACAUUCACAAAUCAGUUUAAACACAUAUGUUUUUUAUCAUUAUCCUGAGUUUGUUGUAACCUGCUCUGCUUCAGGUUUUGUAAGCUCUAACAUGUCUGAGCCAUGUCAGUAUCAUAUACAGGUCAAGAUAACUAAUAUGAGGGUCAGCCAUGUUUUGCUAACUUCAGUGUACACCAGACUGAUGAUAUGAUAAAGAAGUGGUAGUUGGUGUUUGUCUGCAUUAAUUUAGAGACGUUAUACAAAUAUAAUAUAGAAUCAGAACUUGGUGGUGGAGUAGGUGUGUGAGGGAGGCGGGGGCCUGGUUGUGAAGUGCUUUGUGGGUGAGUAGGAGGAUUUUGAAUCGGAUAAAAUCAGAGGCUGGCGACGUUUCUGUCCAAGAUGACUCCAAGGUUGCGGCAGUGGGGGUGAGGAAAUUUUGACCAAUUAUGAGUAAGUCUGACUUGUCGAAGCUGAGUUUGAGGAGAUUUGUUUGCAUCCAGUGUCUGAUAUCAGAGAGACAGUUUGAGAGGGUGGAGUGGGUCUGAGAGGUGAUGGAUUUGGUGGAGAUGUAGAGCUGGAUGUCGUCAGCGUAACAGUGGAAAUGGAGGCCGUGACAACAGAUGAUCUGACCGAGGGGGAUAUUUAUUCUCUAAAUUAUAAUUCGUAAUAAGCCACGUAAGGUGGAAAACAACUUAAAGGGAUAGUGCACCCAAAAAUGAAAAUUCAGCCAUUAUCUACUCACUCAUAUGCCGAGGGAGGCUCAGGUGAAGUUUUAGAGUCCUCACAUCACUUGCAGGGAUCCAAGGGGAGAGGG